AUUAGAUACCCCACUAUGCUUAAGUACUACUAAGACCCAUCCGCCAGAAAAUUACGAGCGAAAGCCUAAAACUCAAAAGACUUGACGGUGUCCCACCUUCCUAGAGGAGCCUGUUCCAUAAUCGACAACCCACGAUAUACCCAACCACUUUUAGUCCUUUCAGCCUAUAUACCGCCGUCACAUUUUAGCCUACCUUUCAAAAGAACCUAAGUGAGCUAAAUAGUAUUAUACUAACAAGUCAGGUCAAGGUGUAGCUUAUAAAGUGGAGGAAAUGGGCUACAUUAUUUACACUAAAUUACACGAACUUAUUAUUCCAUGAAAAAGAAGAUGAAGGCGGAUUUAGCAGUAAUUUAAACAAGAAAAUUUAAAUUAAUAUUGCCCUGGGACAUGUACACACCGCCCGUCACCCU
rnacentral:rRNA from 1 species